UACGUAGGGGGCAAGCGUUGUCCGGAUUUAUUGGGCGUAAAAGGCUUGUAGGUGGCCACGCCAAGUCGGCUGUGAAAUCUCCCGGCUCAACUGGGAGGGGUCAUUCGAUACUGGCGGGCUCGAGGCCGGUAGGGGGAAGUGGAAUUCCCGGUGUAGUGGUGGAAUGCGUAGAUAUCGGGAGGAACACCAGUGGCGAAGGCGGCUUCCUGGACCGGUUCUGACACUGAGGAGCGAAAGCCAGGGGAGCAAACGGG
rnacentral:rRNA from 1 species